rnacentral:rRNA from 1 species
CGGUGGCGGAUGGGCAUGCGGCGCAUUAGCUAGUCGGCGGGGUAACGGCCCACCGAGGCGACGAUGCGUAGGGGUUCUGAGAGGAAGGUCCCCCACACUGGUACUGAGACACGGACCAGACUCCUACGGGAGGCAGCAGUGAGGAAUAUUGGUCAAUGGGCGCGAGCCUGAACCAGCCAAGUCGCGUGAGGGAUGACGGUCCUACGGAUUGUAAACCUCUUUUGCCGGGGAGCAAGCGUGCGUUCGUGAACGCGCGUCGAGAGUACCCGGAGAAAAAGCAUCGGCUAACUCCGUGCCAGCAGCCGCGGUAAUACGGAGGAUGCGAGCGUUAUCCGGAUUUAUUGGGUUUAAAGGGUGCGUAGGCGGGAUGCCAAGUCAGCGGUAAAAAUGCGGUGCUCAACGCCGUCGAGCCGUUGAAACUGGCGUUCUUGAGUGGGCGAGAAGUAUGCGGAAUGCGUGGUGUAGCGGUGAAAUGCAUAGAUAUCACGCAGAACUCCGAUUGCGAAGGCAGCAUACCGGCGCCCUACUGACGCUGAGGCACGAAAGCGUGGGUAUCGAACAGGAUUAGAUACCCUGGUAGUCCACGCAGUAAACGAUGAAUGCUAACUGUCCGGCUCGAAUGAGCGCUGG